rnacentral:lncRNA from 1 species
UUCUAUGACACUUAGUAAUAUAUCUUAGAAUUUGCAUCUUAAUUUUUUUCUAACUAAAUCUCAGUCCUAAUCCCAUAUCAUUUUUUAUUUCUUUUGAUAUGUGUGUGUAUUUAUUCCCUUUGAUGUUCAUAGUAUGUUUCAUUGAGGUUCAAGGUUGAUUUUUUGGGGAAAAGAAAAAGCACCUUUGCAGAAAAGUCAGUUUUUCUAGAGCUAGUUAGGCAGGCCCUCAUUCCUGCCUACAAGAGAGUUCUUCUAUCUCUGCAGGGGAAUUUCUGACUCAUGGGGUGGGUCCCUGACUCCUUACUCCUCUCUGAUAGAGUGAACCAGCAUCUGGGGCAAAUACGUAGCAGUCAGAUGCUCUGAUGAAUGUCCCUGUUCAGUUCUUUGACUUUUUUGUAUCCUCCUUAAAUAAUAAUGGUUUUAAAGAUAUGCAGAAGCCUAUCUAUAGUACUUUAUAGAUCUCAGCAGGCAUUAUUCAUCUUACAGUUAAUACAGGAAGAAACAUCUUUGAUACAGAAAGACUAGGGUGUGAAUUCAGCAAUCUCUGGUUAGGAGAAAAGUAGCCUAGUUUAUUACUUCUUCACUACUUUUGCCUGGAUGACCUGAAUUUUAAUCAAGAAGUUCUUUCCUCUCUAUAUGCACUCCCCCAUUUUCCCACUUUUGUAUUGACUUUCCCACUAUUGUAUUUCUAAUGCACCUUCUUAAUCACUGGAGAAAGCUUUGAGGCAUGUAAGAGGUCCUAGCACCAUUUUCAGUCUUAAAGUUUCAUAGCCACCAGCUUUAUGGGACUCUAUUAUCAGGCCUUUCAAACAAAUUCUUCCCUUCCCUCACAAUCCCAAGCUAUUGAUCUUUUCUCUAAGGAAGCCUUUUGUAUUACUAAUUAAGACUAGGUGACUAUAUUUAAACAGGGUUAUCUUCUAAAAGAUUUAUAUAAAUGAUAAAACAGAGGCUAAGUAUUUUUGUAAGGACAGCAAUUUGAAGUCAGUUAAUGCCUAGAGUGACUGUUUCAUUCUUCUGCUAUGGCUCUGGUGACUUCCUGAUAAUUCUGUCCGAGCCCCUGUGUCCAGUUCCAGGACCUAAGAAUGGAAGAGCUCUGGAGGCUGAAGGUGGAAGAUGGAUCCCCCUUUCAGGGACAGUGAAAGGAGGGUUAAUCUUUCCUGAAGCUGUUAGUCUGGUAUCUAUUAGCACACAUGAGAAUUAGAAACCUUGCAACUUUAGAAAUAGUAUCUGUGUAGUAAAUGCUGUCUGUGUACCAAUUUGUAUAGCUUUUAAUAGAAAUAUCUUAUUUUUGGAUGGAAAAUGUGUGUAAGCUUGUGACUAAAAUAGUUCUGGAUGGAAGACCAUUCAGUAUCUUCUGAAAAAAAAUUGUCUUCUGGAACUAAAACAUGAAAAAAAAAAACCUAUCCAUUAUUGCCUUUUUUUAAAUAAAGAAAACCAGUGCUGUGUAAUCCAUAUUUUACCAAUAUUAAUUAUGUCUUAAAACCAUUUAAGAAUGAUGGUUUACAUAUCCUAUUUUAAAGUCAAGAUUUUAAAGAGCUUUUAUUUGUUAUUACUAAUUAUUGGGAGAAUAUUGAAAAAUUUUCAGUUUAAAUGUUGAAUUAAAAAUGUAACCUUUUUGGCUGGGUGCGGUGGCUCACGCCUGUAAUCCCAGUACUUUGGGAGGCCAAGGCGGGUGAAUCACGAGGUCAGUUCCAGUGAUAGCAUUGAAGUGGAAAUCA